AAUAGAUACCCGGUAGUCCACGCCGUAAACGAUGAGUGCUAAGUGUUAGAGGGUUUCCGCCCUUUAGUGCUGCAGCUAACGCAUUAAGCACUCCGCCUGGGGAGUACGGCCGCAAGGCUGAAACUCAAAGGAAUUGACGGGGGCCCGCACAAGCGGUGGAGCAUGUGGUUUAAUUCGAAGCAACGCGAAGAACCUUACCAGGUCUUGACAUCCUCUGCUAACCCUAGAGAUAGGGCGUUCCCCUUCGGGGGACAGAGUGACAGGUGGUGCAUGGUUGUCGUCAGCUCGUGUCGUGAGAUGUUGGGUUAAGUCCCGCAACGAGCGCAACCCUUGACCUUAGUUGCCAGCAUUCAGUUGGGCACUCUAAGGUGACUGCCGGUGACAAACCGGAGGAAGGUGGGGAUGACGUCAAAUCAUCAUGCCCCUUAUGACCUGGGCUACACACGUGCUACAAUGGAUGGUACAAAGGGCUGCGAGACCGCGAGGUUAAGCCAAUCCCAUAAAACCAUUCUCAGUUCGGAUUGCAGG
rnacentral:rRNA from 1 species